UCAUCGCUGAACCCGGAAGUUCGCCCGCUACAAAAAGGAGAUACUUCUCUUUCCUUUUUUCCUACGCUCUAUGGUUUCUUGGUGUUUGCUUUUUUUUUAAACUCUCCGCCCUUAGUCUUUUUGUCCCUCGGGCCUUCCCGUCGGUGCGCAUGCGUUCCCUUGAUCCAGCUCGGCUUAUAUAAGCCUGGGACGCGGAGUCCGUCGGCCAUUUGGCGCGCGGAGGGUAAGGCCCACGCUGUGUGCUGUUGCAAGCCAGUCGUAUCUGAGAACAAUAAGUGUGAGUUUCUACACAUUUAAAUUGGAGAAUGUCACAAAGUUUGCCCUCGUGGAAUAAAAAGAUAAAGGUUUGCCAUGUAAA